ACCAAUGAAGGGGAUGGGGUUCCCCGACAACCGUCCAUGAGGACUGAUGACUCCUGUUUGCUA
rnacentral:ncRNA from 1 species